rnacentral:rRNA from 1 species
AACGAACGCUGGCGGCGCGCCUAACACAUGCAAGUCGAACGAGAAGGCGUAGCAAUACGCUUGUAGAGUGGCGAACGGGUGAGUAAUACGUGGGUGACCUACCCUCGAGUGGGGAAUAACCCGCCGAAAGGCGGGCUAAUGCCGCGUACGCUUCCGUCCUCACGGGGACGGAAGGAAAGCUGUACCGUGGGUACGGCGCUCAAGGAUGGGCUCACGUCCUAUCAGCUUGUUGGUAGGGUAACGGCCACCAAGGCUACGACGGGUAGCUGGUCUGAGAGGACGAUCAGCCACACUGGCACUGCGACACGGGCCAGACUCCUACGGGAGGCAGCAGUGAGGAAUAUUGCGCAAUGGGCGAAAGCCUGACGCAGCGACGCCGCGGUGGGGAGUGAAGGUCUUCGG